AUGGUGGCUCACACCUAUUGUCACUCUCCAACUUCUAAACCUCCCAAACCUGAUCAGCCCCUAAAGGUAACGCCAGCCCCUCCACCAAAGGAGAAUGCUUGGGUGAAGCGAAGUUCUAACCCUCCAGCUGGAUCUCAGAGCUCAGACACAGAGCAGCAAUCCCCUACAAGUGGUGGGGGAAAAGUAGCUCCAGCUCAACCAUCUGAGGAAGGACCAGCAAGGAAAGAUGAAAAUAAAGUAGAUGGGAUGAAUGUCCCAAAAGGCCAAACUGGGACCUCUAGCCGUGGACCAGGAGACGGAGGGAACAAAGACCACUGGAAGGAGUCAGAUGGGAAAGAUGGCAAAAAGGAUCAAGACUCCAGAUCUGCACCUGAGCCAAAGAAACCUGAGGAAAAUCCAGCUUCCAAGUUCAGUUCUGCAAGCAAGUAUGCUGCUCUCUCUGUUGAUGGUGAAGAUGAAAACGAGGGAGAAGAUUAUGCCGAAUAGACCUCUACAUCCUGUGCUUUCUCCUGGUUUCUCUCCACCCUGGAACAUUCGAGAGCAAAUCAAAACCUCUAUCCAGACAAGACAAAAUAAAACUCACCAUCUCCUGAAGACCUUUCUUACCUUUUUUUAAAAACAAAAAAUGAAAUUAUUUUGCAUGCUGCUGCAGCCUUUAAAGUAUUGAAGUAACUGGAGAAUCGCCAGUAUAGCCAGAGAGAAAGGGACUACAGCUUUUUAGAGGAAGAGUUGUGGUGCAUUAUGUCACCACACAGUUGCCAGUGUGAUUAGUGCCUAGGGGCCUCCAUUUAGCAGAAAUGGUAAUGACAGUGAUAUAACGUCUGGAACCUGGUUGGGCAGUAGGGGAGGGAGGUAGAAGGAAAAUUGUGAGAUUUCUACCUUUUAGUUUUUAUCCUAUUGUGGCAUAUAUGAAUUCUCAAAACAUUAUCUGAAUAAAUUUUCCACUCUUGGAAAGGUAGAUUUAGCCUCAAGUUGUUUUAGUCUCCAGGAGGCUGCCAGCCCCUCCUCUUAUUUAAUUCUGAGUUUUGGGGGCCAACCUAGGGGGAAUUUUUUUUUAACCCCCCAGGGGGGUAGUUGGGAGUGAGACUAUAAGCCAUAAAGAAUAGGACUGCAUUGGACCAAAAUAAAUGGAAAAUCGUGGUUUGAAAAGAAGCUUUUGGGAAGUGAUGAGUCAUUUUGUACCAGGUAAUAGGGGAAAAUUGUGUGACCUCCAGCAAACACAUGAAUGGUUAUUUCCUGGAGCCGGAAGCACUUGGGGGUCGUGGUAAUUCCCAGUGUUUUCUGUGUCCUAGUUUUACCCUUUCUAAACACUGUCCUUUUUGAAAGUUUGAAUAUAUCCACAUUCUGUUGAAACCUUGAAACUAAAAACUUAGACUCUUGUCGUCAUCUUAAGUUCUUCGUGCUACUCUUAACCUCCCAAAAAGCAAUCUCUUAAGUCACAUAGGUGAUGUCUUGGGCAUUUUCUCUCUCAGCCGUGGAGAGCUGUGAAAGGAAGAAUUGCUGCUUUUCUCAAGCAAAUCGGUUUCUUGAUGUCUUUUGGUUCUCACUCCUUGCCUGCUCCUGAUGCUUUGACCCCUUUUAUAGAUCAGAGUGCUCUAGAAUAAUGGAUGGUCUUGGAUGGUGGAUAAAUAGGGACAGGGACAGUUAAAUUGGGAGCCUUUUUUACAACCUUGAUGAGUUUUUUUCCCCCUACAUUUCCUUCUUCACUGAAAUGCUACACCAAUGCUUGUUGGAUUCAUGAGGUAGCCAGACCAAUGUGUUGUUUUUCUUUAUUAUUAUUUUUUAAAGCUUCCCUUGAGAGAAUAAAUGGUAAUGGAGAGAACUAUU